AGUGAACGCUGGCGGUAGGCCUAACACAUGCAAGUCGAACGGCAGCACAGUAAGAGCUUGCUCUUACGGGUGGCGAGUGGCGGACGGGUGAGGAAUACAUCGGAAUCUACUUUUUCGUGGGGGAUAACGUAGGGAAACUUACGCUAAUACCGCAUACGACCUACGGGUGAAAGCAGGGGAUCUUCGGACCUUGCGCGAUUGAACGAGCCGAUGUCGGAUUAGCUAGUUGGCGGGGUAAAGGCCCACCAAGGCGACGAUCCGUAGCUGGUCUGAGAGGAUGAUCAGCCACACUGGAACUGAGACACGGACCAGACUCCUACGGGAGGCAGCAGUGGGGAAUAUUGGACAAUGGGCGCAAGCCUGAUCCAGCCAUACCGCGUGGGUGAAGAAGGCCUUCGGGUUGUAAAGCCCUUUUGUUGGGAAAGAAAAGCAGCAGGUUAAUACCCCGCUGUUCUGACGGUACCCAAAGAAUAAGCACCGGCUAACUUCGUG
rnacentral:rRNA from 1 species